rnacentral:rRNA from 1 species
ACGAACGCUGGCGGCAUGCCUAACACCUGCAAGUCGAACGAGACCUUCGGGUCUAGUGGCGCACGGGUGCGUAACGCGUGGGAACCUGCCCUUAGGUUCGGAAUAACUCCCCGAAAGGGGUGCUAAUACCGGAUAAUGUCUUCGGACCAAAGAUUUAUCGCCUUUGGAUGGGCCCGCGUUGGAUUAGCUAGUUGGUAGGGUAAAAGCCUACCAAGGCGACGAUCCAUAGCUGGUCUGAGAGGAUGAUCAGCCACACUGGGACUGAGACACGGCCCAGACUCCUACGGGAGGCAGCAGUGGGGAAUAUUGGACAAUGGGCGAAAGCCUGAUCCAGCAAGGCCGCGUGAGUGAUGAAGGCCUUAGGGUUGUAAAGCUCUUUUACCCGGGAUGAUAAUGACAGUACCGGGAGAAUAAGCUCCGGCUAACUCCGU